UAGUCCACGCCGUAAACGAUGAUAACUCGUUGCUGGCGAUACAUUGUCAGUGACCAAGCGAAAGUGUUAAGUUAUCCACCUGGGGAGUACGAUCGCAAGAUUGAAACUCAAAGGAAUUGACGGGGGCCCGCACAAGCGGAGGAACAUGUGGUUUAAUUCGAUGAUACGCGAGGAACCUUACCUGGACUUAAAUGUACGUUGCAUAGAUCAGAGAUGGUCUUUUCUUCGGACUACGUACAAGGUGCUGCAUGGUUGUCGUCAGCUCGUGCCGUGAGGUGUCGGGUUAAGUCCCAUAACGAGCGCGACCCCUAUUGUUACGUUGCCAGCAAGUAAUGUUGGGGACUCUAGCAAGACUGCCGGCGUAAGCCGAGAGGAAGGUGGGGACGACGUCAAAUCAUCAUGGCCUUUAUGCCUAGGGCGACACACGUGCUACAAUGGUGCAUACAGAGGGUUGCGAAGCCGCGAGGUGGAGCUAAUCUCAGAAAACUGUUCGUAGUCCGGUA
rnacentral:rRNA from 1 species